UACAGAGGUCCCAAGCGUUGUUCGGAUUCACUGGGCGUAAAGGGUGCGCAGGUGGGUUUGCAAGUUCGAUGUGAAAGCCCCGGGCUUAACCCGGGAAUGGCAUUGGAUACUGCAGAUCUGGAGGAUCGGAGGGGGGACUGGAAUUCUUGGUGUAGCAGUGAAAUGCGUAGAUAUCAAGAGGAACACCAGUGGCGAAGGCGAGUCCCUGGACGAUACCUGACACUGAGGCACGAAAGCUGGGGGAGCAAACAGG
rnacentral:rRNA from 1 species